rnacentral:rRNA from 1 species
GUGUCAGCAGCCGCGGUAAUACGGAGGGGGCAAGCGUUGUUCGGAAUUACUGGGCGUAAAGAGCGCGUAGGCGGCGAGACAAGUCAGGCGUGAAAGCCCCGGGCUCAACCUGGGUGGUGCGCUUGAUACUGUUUUGCUGGAGUCCGGAAGGGGAUGGCGGAAUUCCCAGUGUAGAGGUGAAAUUCGUAGAUAUUGGGAAGAACACCGGUGGCGAAGGCGGCCAUCUGGACCGGCACUGACGCGGAGGCGCGAAAGCGUGGGGAGCAAACAGGAUUAGAUACCCUGGUAGUCCACGCCGUAAACGAUGCGUGCUAGACGUUGGGGGACGUAGUUCCUCGGUGUCGCAGUUAACGCGUUAAGCACGCCGCCUGGGGAGUACGGCCGCAAGGUUAAAACUCAAAUGAAUUGGCGGGG